rnacentral:rRNA from 1 species
UACGUAGGGCGCAAGCGUUGUCCGGAAUUAUUGGGCGUAAAGAGCUCGUAGGUGGCUUGUCACGUCGGUGUGAAAGCUGGGCUUAACUCCAGGUCUGCAUUCGAUACGGCUGGCUAGAGGUAGGUAGGGGAGAACGGAAUUCCUGGUGUAGCGGUGAAAUGCGCAGAUAUCAGGAGGAACAGCCGGUGGCGAAGGCGGGUCUCUGGGCCGUAACUGACGCUGAGGAGCGAAAGCGUGGGGAGC